AGAGGCUCCCAGACAGCACCUCAGUUGAAGUGUUUUGGCAAUUGAAGUCUACAUAGAGAGGGAGUCCCUUUUUUUUUUUUUUUUUAAGGAGUGUUGCCCUUGGUAGAAUCUCCCUGUCCCAUUGGAUAACCUCAUCCCUGUGCAUAUAUGGCUAGUACUAAUUGGAGUUUGUGUGUUAAAAUUAACUAACUAACUUCUUUAAAAGGAGGGCAUAGAGUUGGGUGACAGGCAUAAUGAAUGGAUAUGGAGGGAGUUGGAGGAUGGACAUGAGGAGUGUACAUGAUCAAGAUAUACUGUAGGUGUGUAUGGCAUUUUCAAAAAUACAGCUAAAAUUAAACAAACAGAUAAACACCCCCAUGAGACAUGGGCAUAAGAUUCCCCAGUUGUCAGACAUUGUGAUGCAUGGAGGGGAAAGUCCCUUUCCUGAAAGAUGUUUCAACUAAGAGUAUUAAAGCAGCAGAUAACUAUGCUGAAAGCGAAGGCAUAGGUGACUCUUGACUGUAUUAGAACUCCUCCGACUCCGGCACCUGAACCCUGAACAGCACUCCUCCUCAACUACACUGCAAUUUCGUUUAGUGAAAGAAUUUCUUUAGGAAAAACAAAUUAACCAGCUCCAACUUUUAACUUAAGUGCAAAAGUCAAGAUCCCAAUCACACUCAAGUCGGCUCCCAUGAGGAGGAGUUUCUAAAGUCCACAACCACCAGUGUCUGGCUGCAUCUCCCAGAGGUAGCAGCACACCAGUAAUCUCUUUCAUUGCUCACCAGAAAGUGGUACCACAUUGGCCAAGACUGCUUUGAAGUCAUGAUCUUCCUGCCAGUCUCCAGAAGGCUGAGGUUACAAGCUACUGAACACACUGCCAUGCUCAGCCUCCGUGGAUUUUCUGUGAGGAUUUCUCCAGUAUCUGAAGCAUUCUUGAUCUAUGUAGUGAUUGAACACCAGAGAAAAACGUACUGAAGAACUCCUUGUGAUAUUCUUGCUGCUUCUGUGGACUGGGACCGAUUAAUAGAGCCUUGAGUUUUCUUCUGGAUUAAACAAACUGAUACUCCUGAUUCAUGAAUGGUGCUUGGAAGUGGAUUGAGGUACAGCUGCUGUUUUGUGUGAACUAAACUGCUCAUAUCCUGAUGACAAAGAUUCCUCAACAAUACAAGUGCUUUGAAAACAUAGUUCCUAAAGGAAUAGUUUCCAAGCCUUGCAGUACUGCAAUCAAAAAGAGUUCUACAGGUUUCCAGGAGUCUUUGAAAUUUCUAAGGCUCUCCAUUUAUGUGCCAUCAGCUAAAGGUUCAUUUUUGGAAGUUGCCAUUAUGGUAGAUUGUGCUCCUUCUUCUCUGCCCUGCCUGGUUUCCAGGUUCUCAC